rnacentral:rRNA from 1 species
AAAUGCGUAGAGAUCAGGAAGAACACCGGUGGCGAAGGCGCUCUGCUGGGCUAUAACUGACACUGAGGGACGAAAGCUAGGGGAGCGAAUGGGAUUAGAUACCCCAGUAGUCCUAGCGGUAAACGAUGGAAACUAGGUGUGGCCUGUAUCGACCCGGGCCGUGCCGAAGCAAACGCGUUAAGUUUCCCGCCUGGGGAGUACGCACGCAAGUGCGAAACUCAAAGGAAUUGACGGGGGCCCGCACAAGCGGUGGAGUAUGUGGUUUAAUUCGAUGCAACGCGAAGAACCUUACCAGGACUUGA